rnacentral:rRNA from 1 species
CGAACGGGUGAGUAACACUGGGCAACCUGCCCAAAAGAGGGGGAUAACACUUGGAAACAGGUGCUAAUACCGCAUAACCAUAGUUACCGCAUGGUAACUAUGUAAAAGGUGGCUAUGCUACCGCUUUUGGAUGGGCCCGCGGCGCAUUAGCUAGUUGGUGGGGUAAAGGCUUACCAAGGCAAUGAUGCGUAGCCGAACUGAGAGGUUGAUCGGCCACAUUGGGACUGAGACACGGCCCAAACUCCUACGGGAGGCAGCAG